UGACAGCACAGCGUCUCUGGGGCA
rnacentral:misc_RNA from 1 species